CCCAUACAAUCUUGCUAGCGCAUGCUAAAAAGAUAAAAGCUCCGGCGGUGUAAAAUGAGCGUGCGUCCUAUUAGCUAGUUGGAGAGGUAAUGGCUCACCAAGGCUACGAUGGGUAGGGGUUCUUAGUGGAAGGUCCCCCACACUGGCACUGAGAUACGGGCCAGACUCCUACGGGAGGCAGCAGUAGGGAAUAUUGGUCAAUGGGCGCAAGCCUGAACCAGCCAUGCCGCGUGCAGGAUGAAGGCUCUCUGAGUUGUAAACUGCUUUUGUACAGGAGCAAAAAAGCCCCUGCGGGGGCUCUUGAGAGUACUGUAAGAAUAAGCACCGGCUAAUUCCGUGCCAGCAGCCGCGGUAAUACGGAAGGUGCAAGCGUUAUCCGGUUUUAUUGGGUUUAAAGGGUGCGUAGGCGGCUUAUUAAGUCAGUUGUGAAAUCCUAGUGCUUAACGCUAGAACUGCGAUUGAUACUAUUAGGCUUGAGUUAAGAAGAGGUAGGCAGAAUUUAUGGUGUAGUAGUGAAAUGCUUAGAUAUCAUAAGGAAUACCAAUAGCGUAGGCAGCUUACUGGUCUUUAACUGACGCUGAGGCACGAAAGCGUGGGGAGCAAACAGGAUUAGAUACCCUGGUAGUCCACGCCGUAAACGAUGAUCACUCGAUAUACAUGAAACCUCGUGUGUGUCUAAGCGAAAGCGUUAAGUGAUCCACCUGGGGAGUAUACUCGCAAGUGUGAAACUCAAAGGAAUUGACGGGGGUCCGCACAAGCGGUGGAGUAUGUGGUUUAAUUCGAUAAUACGCGAGGAACCUUACCUGGGCUAGAAUGUAUUUUGACACCUUGAG
rnacentral:rRNA from 1 species